ensembl:snRNA U6 U6 spliceosomal RNA
GCUUGCUUCAGCAGCACAUACUAAAAUGAGAAUGGUACAGAGAAGAUUAGCACAGCCCCUAUGUAAGUAUGACACCCCAAUUUGUGAAGCAUCCCAUGUUUUG